UGUUCAUAAUAACUUUACGAAUCGCAUGGCCUUGGGCGCCGGCGAUGGUUCAUUCAAAUUUCUGCCCUAUCAACUUUCGAUGGUAGGAUAGUGGCCUACAUGGGUUCAACGGGUAACGGGGAAUUAGGGUUCUAUUCCGGAGAGGGAGCCUGAGAAACGGCUACCACAUCCAAGGAAGGCAGCAGGCGCGCAAAUUACCCAAUCCCGACACGGGGAGGUAGUGACAAUAAAUACUGAUACAGGGCUCUUUUGAGUCUUGUAAUUGGAAUGAGUACAAUUUAAAUCCCUUAACGAGGAACAAUUGGAGGGCAAGUCCGGAGCCAGCAGCCGCGGUAAUUCCAGCUCCAAUAGCGUAUAUUAAAGUUGUUGCAGUUAAAAAGCUCGUAGUUGAACCUUGGGCCUGGCUGGCCGGUCCGCCUCACCGCGUGCACUGGUCCGGCCGGGCCUUUCCUCCUGGGGAGCCGCAUGCCCUUCACUGGGUGUGUCGGGGAACCAGGACUUUUACUUUGAAAAAAUUAGAGUGUUCAAAGCAGGCCUAUGCUCGAAUACAUUAGCAUGGAAUAAUAGAAUAGGACGUGUGGUCUAUAAGUA
rnacentral:rRNA from 1 species